UCAGGAUGAACACACGCUCUUUCUCCGGAAGGAGUUUCCCAGGGUAGAAAGACUCUGACAACGUCAGCCCCAGCUAUUUCACUCUAAGUUCUUCCAUUUUUAGCUGAAGAGAUCCGAUCUGCCCAGGACUCUAGAAAGGAAAGCAAAAGUGAAACUGAACAAAGGGGACAUGCUGUUCUGACUCCAAAGUAAAUAUGAAAGUCCUCACGAGUGCGGGGAUUUCCUGGUCCGCUGGCAACUUGAUGACUUGCAGAUGAAACAAUGGGUUCAGCCUGGAACAAGUGCGAAUAAGAAAUCCACAGGAAGUCCUGUCACAGGGUCAGAGCGGUCCUCCAGGUAGCAUCUGCCCUUCCGAGGGGCGGCUUACUGGGGAUCUCUUUGUCCUGGGAGUGCUUCAUGGACACCGCUGACACAUUCUGAAGUCACCCAGAUGGAGAUCAAGAAUGCCUUCCAUCAGCCCAGAAAAUUCCUUCAUGCCUCUUUCCAGGGGACACUUACACAGACACGCCACCCUGGCCUCAAACACUCUUGGGAUGGGUCUCAUGGCGGCUUCGGCCUGUCUGCUCCGACGUCCCAUAAGUGGACUUGUACGGCUUCUCUCCCUCACCUCCCUCCUUGCCUCCACAUGAGAGCACGUGUCUGCGGCUUGUUGUCUUUGCCAACAAACAGUAUCCCACCGGAUAAAUACAGCCCAGUGAUGUGGGGCUCCAUCCUGGGACCCCACAGUCUCCUGUUCUCCUGCUGAUGGACAUGGGGUUACUUCCUCUGUGGCCCCAUAAGCAGAGCGAAGCUAGGGGUGUUCUGGCUCAAGUGUUUUUGUCAGUCUCUGGAUUCAUGUCUGUUUUAUAAGUACCUGGUUCUCCUUGGAAUCGUCUACUGGAUCCUUGGCAUCAAGCAGUUCUUGAAACGGUCGAAGGCUGGGUGAGCUUGGAGCGCAGCUGGAGGCCACGGAGAUGGGAGUGAUUGCGUGCUUUUCUCUGAGGGCACACUGAGGAGUGGGCCCCCAAGCUUUUGACUCCUCCGGGCCAGAGACUGGGAGCCCGCCAUUUUCAUUCCCGUCCUCCGGAACUCUACAGAAAGCCCAAACAGCAUUAUUUGAACUCUGUUUUUCUUCAAAAUUGUCUUGUCUGCGUCCUUUAAAUUUUCAUAUAAUAUUUAGAAUUGUGAAUAUAUUUUUAAAAGUU